UACCUCGUAGGUCAGCUGGUAGAGCAUGCGCGUACAAAGCGUAGGCGGCGUCCACGCGUGGGUUCGAAUCCCACCGAGGCUA
rnacentral:tRNA from 1 species